GACGAACGUUGGCGGCGUGCUUAACACAUGCAAGUCGAACGGAAAGGCCCUGCUUUUGUGGGGUGCUCGAGUGGCGAACGGGUGAGUAACACGUGAGUAACCUGCCCUUGACUUUGGGAUAACUUCAGGAAACUGGGGCUAAUACCGGAUAGGAGCUCCUGCUGCAUGGUGGGGGAUGGAAAGUUUCGGCGGUUGGGGAUGGACUCGCGGCUUAUCAGCUUGUUGGUGGGGUAGUGGCUUACCAAGGCUUUGACGGGUAGCCGGCCUGAGAGGGUGACCGGCCACAUUGGGACUGAGAUACGGCCCAGACUCCUACGGGAGGCAGCAGUGGGGAAUAUUGCACAAUGGGCGGAAGCCUGAUGCAGCAACGCCGCGUGCGGGAUGACGGCCUUCGGGUUGUAAACCGCUUUCGCCUGUGACGAAGCGUGAGUGACGGUAAUGGGUAAAGAAGCACCGGCUAACUACGUGCCAGCAGCCGCGGUGAUACGUAGGGUGCGAGCGUUGUCCGGAUUUAUUGGGCGUAAAGGGCUCGUAGGUGGUUGAUCGCGUCGGAAGUGUAAUCUUGGGGCUUAACCCUGAGCGUGCUUUCGAUACGGGUUGACUUGAGGAAGGUAGGGGAGAAUGGAAUUCCUGGUGGAGCGGUGGAAUGCGCAGAUAUCAGGAGGAACACCAGUGGCGAAGGCGGUUCUCUGGGCCUUUCCUGACGCUGAGGAGCGAAAGCGUGGGGAGCGAACAGGCUUAGAUACCCUGGUAGUCCACGCUGUAAACGGUGGGUACUAGGUGUGGGGUCCAUUCCACGGGUUCCGUGCCGUAGCUAACGCUUUAAGUACCCCGCCUGGGGAGUACGGCCGCAAGGCUAAAACUCAAAGGAAUUGACGGGGCCCCGCACAAGCGGCGGAGCAUGCGGAUUAAUUCGAUGCAACGCGUAGAACCUUACCUGGGUUUGACAUGGAUCGGGAGUGCUCAGAGAUGGGUGUGCCUCUUUUGGGGUCGGUUCACAGGUGGUGCAUGGCUGUCGUCAGCUCGUGUCGUGAGAUGUUGGGUUAAGUCCCGCAACGAGCGCAACCCUUGUUCACUGUUGCCAGCACGUUAUGGUGGGGACUCAGUGGAGACCGCCGGGGUCAACUCGGAGGAAGGUGGGGAUGACGUCAAGUCAUCAUGCCCCUUAUGUCCAGGGCUUCACGCAUGCUACAAUGGCUGGUACAGAGAGUGGCGAGCCUGUGAGGGUGAGCGAAUCUCGGAAAGCCGGUCUCAGUUCGGAUUGGGGUCUGCAACUCGACCUCAUGAAGUCGGAGUCGCUAGUAAUCGCAGACCAGCAACGCUGCGGUGAAUACGUUCCCGGG
rnacentral:rRNA from 1 species